rnacentral:misc_RNA from 1 species
UAGAUUGUCCAUACAGCGUGUGUGUGGAUGACCAGAACAACCUUUACGUUGGACAUUUCUCUAAUAACACACUGGAUGUGUACAAGUAUCUUCAGUGUUCUUCCGGGUCCCCUUCGUAACAUUUAAAUGAAUUUUGAUAGCAAUAUGAUAAGAUGUAUUGAUCUGAUUUACUGAUGAUUUAAAUGAAUGCAUUCACGAAUUUUACUCCUAUCGUAUACGGCUGUUCUACAAUUUUAUAUUUGUUCACUGAUAACGCAUCCCAGAAUAUAGUCCCUUCGUGAUGGAUUAUUGGACGAAAUACAUUAAUGCAGAAAAGUUGAAACAUAAAAAGUUUGAAAUCUAAUAAGAAUAAAAAAGAACAUGACUUGUGAAAAGUUAUCCUUGUUACGUACAUGUACAUGAAUGAGUGGAGCACAUGGCUCAUUGGUCAUGGGCUUUAGGCCAGUAACCGAGAAGUCGUUGGUUCAAACCCCGCUGUGGUCACUUGAUGUUGUGUGUUUUGCACUUAGACAAGGCACUUUAUCUACAUUGUCUCAGUCCACCCAGCUGAAAUUGGGUACCGGCUUAUGCUGGGGAUUAAUCUGCGAUGGACUGGUAUCCCACCCAUGGGGAGUCCAAUGACUCUCAUUGGCUUAGCACCACGAAAACCGGGGAUAAGCACCGGCCUUAUCUGCCCUCAUGACACAGAGAAGAAUUUAUUACACGAAUGAACAAACACAUGUAACAGUGCAUGGUUUGAUUUUAAGAAUUACCAUCAGGAAUUAAAAAAUAUGUGCCGGAUAAUUAAGUUUGUGCCAAGGUGCAGUGUUUUCCAAACAUUACCCAAUAUCCAAAUAAUCUUAGAAUGGUUGUACACCGUGAAAUUAAUCAGAGAUAAAGUCAAGUUUACAACAUUGACGUGAAUGUUACCCUGAGGAUCUGAAAUUAAGGAAGUUCUUUUAAAACGUUGUUUGCUUUCUUCUCUAUAUUAAAAAUCAAAAAAUUGUACUGACGUGUGGGUUAAAAGAAUGUGACUAGAAUUGGUGUCAAAAGCCUUACUUAUACUCAUGCCUCUCAUACAUUUAUAUGCUCGAAGCAUAUUCACAACAGACUACUGUAACUCUCCAGAUUCUGGAAAUCAGUUUUUGCCUUCAAUUAAAAUCGAGCAGAGAAAAAUCACUCUCAAACGGCAAAGUAACAACAUUUCGUACCAACAAGAAGAAAUUGGAAUCUACAAACAAAAUUUUAUUAAAAUGACACGGUGAUGUAAAUUUUGAACUACUAGUACUCGAAAAAAAAAUCAUUCUUCAAUAAAUAAAUUCGAAAAUUU